GUCUGGUGCCAGCAGCCGCGGUAAUUCCAGCUCCAAUAGCGUAUAUUAAACUUGUUGCAGUUAAAAAGCUCGUAGUUGUAUUUCAGCCUCGCGUUUUUUCCCUUUUUUUGGGUCUUUUCGCUGGCUUUUUUUUUACUUUGAGAAAAUUAGAGUGUUUCAAGCAGACUUUUGUCUUGAAUACUUCAGCAUGGAAUAAUAGAGUAGGACCUUGGUUCUAUUUUGUUGGUUUUGAGCCUUGGUAAUGGUUAAUAGGAACGGUUGGGGGCAUUCGUAUUUAACUGUCAGAGGUGAAAUUCUUAGAUUUGUUAAAGACGAACCACUGCGAAAGCAUUUGCCAAGGACGUUUUCAUUAAUCAAGAACGAAAGUUAGGGGAUCGAAGACGAUCAGAUACCGUCGUAGUCCUAACCAUAAAC
rnacentral:rRNA from 1 species